rnacentral:rRNA from 1 species
CGUAACGCGUAUGCAACCUACCUUUAACAGGGGAUAACACUGAGAAAUUGGUACUAAUACCCCAUAAUAUCAUAGAAGGCAUCUUUUAUGGUUGAAAAUUCCGAUGGUUAGAGAUGGGCAUGCGUUGUAUUAGCUAGUUGGUGAGGUAAAGGCUCACCAAGCCGACGAUCUCUAGCUGGUCUGAGAGGAUGACCAGCCACACUGGGACUGAGACACGGCCCAG